rnacentral:rRNA from 1 species
GAUGAACGCUAGCGGCAGGCUUAAUACAUGCAAGUCGAACCGGAUUGAGAAGCUUGCUUUUCAUGAGAGUGGCGCACGGGUGCGUAACACGUAUGCAACCUGCCUUGUCCAGGGGGAUAGCCCGUUGAAAGACGGAUUAAGACCGCAUAACAUCAUUGAAUGGCAUCGUUUAAUGAUCAAAUAUUUAUAGGGACAAGAUGGGCAUGCGUCUGAUUAGCUAGUUGGCGGGGUAAUGGCCCACCAAGGCGACGAUCAGUAGGGGAUCUGAGAGGAUGACCCCCCACACUGGAACUGAGACACGGACCAGACUCCUACGGGAGGAAGCAGUAAGGAAUAUUGGUCAAUGGGCGCAAGCCUGAACCAGCCAUGCCGCGUGCAGGAAGACGGCCCUACGGGUUGUAAACUGCUUUUAUACGGGAAUAGCCCCGGUUUCGUGAAACCGGCUGAAUGUACCGUAGGAAUAAGGAUCGGCUAACUCCGUGCCAGCCGCCGCAGUAA